CCUCAACUUGUUGCAUAUGGAUCAUUAACCUUGCUAUGUCUAUAUCCCCUAUGAACAUCACUGCAUUGCCUUCCUUGCUUGACUGACGAGAUAACCCAACAACAAAUAAACUAAUUCUGCUUCUCAAGUCAGCAACCAUCUCCGGGGCAUAGCGGGAAAGUUGUGCGAACUUCAGACUGUACUCAUUAACACUCAUAGACUCCGGAUUAAGGGUGAGAAACUCUCUUAUCUUUGCCUCUCGCAACUCAUGGGGAAAGAAACGUCCCAUGAGAG
rnacentral:lncRNA from 1 species